AAUUCAAUUUGAUUUACUUUACAUCUAAGAUUAUCGGGCGCAACAUAAAUUUCAAUUGGCCAUUGUGAGUAUUAUGAAGAGAUAGCAUACAUGCAAAUAAACUAACGCGUUUAAUUACUUUUUUUCUGUGGUAACCUUUGAUUGAACUGAUUUAAUGUAUAUAUUAGGGGUCGUUCCAGUUCCAAAAUCAUAUUUUAGUAUUCAAGGGAAUAGGUCAAACGUUGAGAGGAAAGUAUAAUACUUCUUCUUUCAAGGACCCACUAAACCUAACAUCUUCUCCCACACUUCACACUUCUUUUCAC
rnacentral:lncRNA from 1 species